rnacentral:rRNA from 1 species
UACGAGUGCUCCAAGCGUUAUCCGGAAUUAUUGGGCGUAAAGGGUGUGUAGGCGGUAGGGUUAGUCUUUUGUUAAAUCUUCGGCUUAACCGGGGGCAUGCAAAAGAAACGGCUCAACUAGAGGAUGCGAGAGGUGAAUGGAACUCAUGGAGUAGGGGUGAAAUCCGUUGAUAUCAUGGGGAACACCAAAUGCGAAGGCAAUUCACUGGCGCACUCCUGACGCUGAAACACGAAAGCGUAGGUAAGCGAAAUGGG